rnacentral:lncRNA from 1 species
UAUAAUACUUUUAUUUUAAAAACUAUCAAUAAAACUUACAUCAAAGGUACUUAUAUCUUACAAGAAUACUUCUUUUGUACUUUCAUAAUUCUACUUUACAGUGGUACUUCUCUAAAAUCCUUCAAUUCUUCAAUAAUUCUUAGCCACGGCUUUUACUUCAACCUAUUUUAAUUUUAUUCAUAAUUAAGAGGAACACUUAAAAAUUAUAUUUUUUUCCUUCCAUCUUCACUAUAUAUUCAUGCAUAGGCUGAAUCAUCAUCAAAAACUUUUGUUUCCAUCUAUAUAGCCAUAAUAUAUAAUUGUCCUAAAAUCAUUGGAUAAGAUGUUGUAUCUUAAACAAAGAAAAGUUAUUCUAUUGGAACAUCUCUAAUCCAAAUUUUAACGUCUAGGCAACCUCCAUAUAAUUUAUUUUGUGUAUUAUUAGCUACUUGAUUUUUCCAUCCAUACUCCAUAUGAAUUGGCUACUUUUUGUUCAUAAAAAAGAU